UUCAGAGUCGCCCUAAGGCUUAUAAUCAUAUGAAGAUAUGAAGGUCAGAUCAGCAUAGUGAAAAGCGAGUUUUUUAAUGAUAAUACUUCCAUUCAUUUCCAUUGAAACGCUAACCAUAUAAAGGGUCAACAGUGAGUGAGUGAGUGAGUGAGUGAGUGAGUGAGUAAAUAUUUAACGUCCCAUCGGCAAUAUUUCAGCCACAUCGAGCCGUGAACAUUUGAUGCAUUAAAAAUGAAUGAAUUUAGCGCAUAGAAACCUGUCUCCAUUUGUGUGUUAAAGUAAUACUACUGCAUUUACCGAAAUCGCCACUUCACAUUUGAAAGCACUUCCAGUUCAGUUCAUAAUAUGGUGUUGACACAUAAUGACACAGGAUUUAAAAAACCCAACAUUUUAAAUCCUGAUAAGGCAUAGAUGAGCCUGGAUAAUACUGUCUUCGUUUUUCUUGCAGUACUCGGUGGAACAUUGCCUCCGGUUUUGUUGUUAAUACUUACUUGACGUAAAGCCAAAAUAAUCGACGUCUUAAAGGCCCAUAUUGAAAAUGUCCAAGAGAGUUCUGUUAAAACCUGUUAAACAUCUAAACUUUUAACCUGUUAAACAUUUAACAAACUU